GCAGCUACUUCUCUUAACUUCUGACCCAUCAUUCCAGCCCCUGCACCAUUUUGAAUCAAGGUUAGUUAGGCAAAGUCCCUGUCCUGAUUUUCUCAGUAAGGAUGCUUCUCCACUGACUUGCUGGGAGUUACCUCCACUCACCAGGCCUGUUUCCCCAUCUUUAGAAGGAGGCAGUUGAACUGGGUUAUCCCUGAGUUCCUUUUCAGUGCCAGCACCACAUCUUCAGAUGCCCCAAGGCUCUGACAGUGCUGAUCAGGGCAUGGAUCAGACUUCAUCAACUCCACAUCUCGGAACAUGGAAGGAUCAAGACAGCUGCAGCCCCAAGAAGGUGAACUUGCCAGGAACUGGCUGAGAUGAUUCUGCUACUUAUGGUGAAAUGUCUUGGCAGGCAGACCAUUCAGAUCCUGUGUCUAGUCUCUUCCUGCUGCUGAUCUCUGUAUGUGUUUGUGAGCCAAGGCUGUACUUUAAUGAGCAAAGCUUUGAAUAGUGUCUUAAUACCUGAUACGCUUGUCAAAGUUCCAUGGGAAAAAAAAAAUCUUAUUACGUGAGACUGCAUUGGAGGGAAAAAUAACAUCAUUAGGAUGCCAUCAGCUUCUCCCAUCUGCGACUGCGGCGCCCGACUCCCGUGGUCAGUCUCCCUUGUUUGGUUUGGUUUUGCUUCGCUUUUGAUGCCUUCUAAUGAAAGCUGGCCCUGCAGGUCGCAUACGUUCUCCACAUUUCUUAAUGGCUUGACUCCUGAACACCUUAUUAGUUUUGUUGCUUUCGUGAAUGGAAAACCUUGCCCAGUUUUUUCAUUUUACUUUCCAAGUUUUAAUCAGUUUGCUAAUCAAUAUGCUGCAUUCACAGACACACACCGAGCGAACGUGCUUUGUCCCUGGACAGACAAAUGAGAACACAGCACACAUGCAAAUCUGAGCUAAUUGGCAAGGAAUGAAUUUGAAUGUUUGAAUUAAAUUUCAAUUAUACAAGUAAAACAUGAAUACAUUUCAUUUUAAAUACAGUCCACUUUGCAGAUGGGGCGUCCCUACUUGGCCAUUGGCCUCUGCCUCAGAUACUUGUACCUUCGGGGAUGGGAGACAAUCUUAGUGGCUGUGUCUGUCUAGAGUUUGCCUGUGCCCUUUCCAACAUUGUCUCUGUCCUUUUGUUUUGUCUGUCUGCAUAGCCACUGAGCUCUGUGCCCUACAAGACUCGCCUUGAGUGGCUGUCUGCAUCUCCGUUCAACCGCGUGCUCCACUCGGCUGGCCGCACACAGCGGCAACCAGGCCUUGCCACCUUCUGCCUCAUUUGUUUCCUAUUGAUUGACUGUUAAAAUGCUUUUGGUGGUACCCUUGUUUUGUCCUCUUUUGCUCACAUACAAGUAUUUUUGGAGGACAAGUACUUGGAAUUGUUGGGUCACAGGGAAUCCAUGUCGUGAAUUCAGCUAAAAAAUGACUAGUGUUCUCCAAAGCGCCCAGUUCAAUCUCCAGCCAAAACAUCUCCAAGUCUAGCAUUUUUUACCAGUUGGAUGAGUAAAAAUACUGUCUCCGGUUAGUGGGUGUUGUCUGUAUCCCGUCACAGCCAAAGCUUUAGUUUCCCUCCUAGUUCAUCCAUGGACUGUGCAUCCAUGUCCUUCCUCGUUCUCCCUCUCCUUCUCUCUCUUU